AUCCAGAUGAUGAGUCCCAAAUAGGACGAAACGCGCGUCCUGGAU
rfam:Schistosoma rodhaini strain Burundi genome assembly, scaffold: SROB_scaffold0000339